UUAGAAUCGAAGGCAAAUGUCAACAUGGUGAUUAAAAGACAUCAGAGGCAAUGGGAAGAAAGUAAAACUACGACACGUGGAGAUGAUAUAGACAUUCUGACAAGAAGCAAAUACUGGCUGCAAAUAUAUACACAAGAAAUAGCCAGUGAGAGAGAACCUCACCCAUAAUAUAGCUCUUCCAUCCAGGAAGGAGAACGAUACAAAGCCGGUUGGGUAUGAAGAAUUUCAUAUUGCACUACAAGCUGAUGGGGAGAUCUUAAGGCAAAGUUGCUCAUCAGACAAGACUCCAUUCCUUCGGCUGAGCUUGAUCCCCUUCUGUUGGAGCUAGGACCAGGUCUCAAGGACUGUGGUUGUGCAAAAAGGAGUGCGUUUCUAUGCAGUCUGACCUCGAAGGCAAUCCACGGGGGAAGCUCUGAUUGACUCAGCGCUCAUGAAAUAAGAUGAUGAAAACCAACCUUCCUCCUUCUCUCCUGUCUCUGGGCGACCUUUCAUGGUGGAUGCUGGGAACGUAAAGUUAAGAAGAAAUCCAUGGAAAGCAAGACUCCUAAGUCUAGACAGCCACCAAGGCUCAAGGCGUCAGGCAGACACAGGAGCAAGAAUAGCAGCGGAGGCUAAGCUGUAUUUUCCCUUGUUUGGAAAGGGCAAGGAAGGCUUGGGAGUAUCUUUGGACAAAG
rnacentral:lncRNA from 1 species